rnacentral:rRNA from 1 species
UACGUAGGGUGCGAGCGUUGUCCGGAAUUAUUGGGCGUAAAGAGCUUGUAGGCGGUUUGUCGCGUCUGCUGUGAAAAUCCGGGGCUCAACCCCGGACUUGCAGUGGGUACGGGCAGACUAGAGUGUGGUAGGGGAGACUGGAAUUCCUGGGUGUAGCGGUGGAAUGCGACAGACUAUCAGGAGGAACACCGAGUGGCGAAGGCAGGUCUCCUGGGC